AUUGAACGCUGGCGGCAUGCCUUACACAUGCAAGUCGAACGGCAGCACGGAGCUUGCUCUGGUGGCGAGUGGCGAACGGGUGAGUAAUAUAUCGGAACGUGCCCUAGAGUGGGGGAUAACGUAGCGAAAGUUACGCUAAUACCGCAUACGAUCUAAGGAUGAAAGUGGGGGAUCGCAAGACCUCAUGCUCGUGGAGCGGCCGAUAUCUGAUUAGCUAGUUGGUAGGGUAAAAGCCUACCAAGGCAUCGAUCAGUAGCUGGUCUGAGAGGACGACCAGCCACACUGGAACUGAGACACGGUCCAGACUCCUACGGGAGGCAGCAGUGGGGAAUUUUGGACAAUGGGCGAAAGCCUGAUCCAGCAAUGCCGCGUGAGUGAAGAAGGCCUUCGGGUUGUAAAGCUCUUUUGUCAGGGAAGAAACGGUGAGAGCUAAUAUCUCUUGCUAAUGACGGUACCUGAAGAAUAAGCACCGGCUAACUACGUGCCAGCAGCCGCGGUAAUACGUAGGGUGCAAGCGUUAAUCGGAAUUACUGGGCGUAAAGCGUGCGCAGGCGGUUUUGUAAGUCUGAUGUGAAAUCCCCGGGCUCAACCUGGGAAUUGCAUUGGAGACUGCAAGGCUAGAAUCUGGCAGAGGGGGGUAGAAUUCCACGUGUAGCAGUGGAAUGCGUAGAUAUGUGGAGGAACACCGAUGGCGAAGGCAGCCCCCUGGGUCAAGAUUGACGCUCAUGCACGAAAGCGUGGGGAGCAAACAGGAUUAGAUACCCUGGUAGUCCACGCCCUAAACGAUGUCUACUAGUUGUCGGGUCUUAAUUGACCUGGUAACGCAGCUAACGCGUGAAGUAGACCGCCUGGGGAGUACGGUCGCAAGAUUAAAACUCAAAGGAAUUGACGGGGACCCGCACAAGCGGUGGAUGAUGUGGAUUAAUUCGAUGCAACGCGAAAAACCUUACCUACCCUUGACAUGGCUGGAAUCCCCGAGAGAUCAGGGAGUGCUCGAAAGAGAACCAGUACACAGGUGCUGCAUGGCUGUCGUCAGCUCGUGUCGUGAGAUGUUGGGUUAAGUCCCGCAACGAGCGCAACCCUUGUCAUUAGUUGCUACGAAAGGGCACUCUAAUGAGACUGCCGGUGACAAACCGGAGGAAGGUGGGGAUGACGUCAAGUCCUCAUGGCCCUUAUGGGUAGGGCUUCACACGUCAUACAAUGGUACAUACAGAGCGCCGCCAACCCGCGAGGGGGAGCUAAUCGCAGAAAGUGUAUCGUAGUCCGGAUUGUAGUCUGCAACUCGACUGCAUGAAGUUGGAAUCGCUAGUAAUCGCGGAUCAGCAUGUCGCGGUGAAUACGUUCCCGGGUCU
rnacentral:rRNA from 1 species